rnacentral:rRNA from 1 species
UGGGGAAUAUUGCACAAUGGGCGCAAGCCUGAUGCAGCCAUGCCGCGUGUAUGAAGAAGGCCUUCGGGUUGUAAAGUACUUUCAGCGGGGAGGAAGGUUUUGUGGUUAAUAACCACAGCAAUUGACGUUACCCGCAGAAGAAGCACCGGCUAACUCCGUGCCAGCAGCCGCGGUAAUACGGAGGGUGCAAGCGUUAAUCGGAAUUACUGGGCGUAAAGCGCACGCAGGCGGUCUGUCAAGUCGGAUGUGAAAUCCCCGGGCUCAACCUGGGAACUGCAUCCGAAACUGGCAGGCUUGAGUCUUGUAGAGGGGGGUAGAAUUCCAGGUGUAGCGGUGAAAUGCGUAGAGAUCUGGAGGAAUACCGGUGGCGAAGGCGGCCCCCUGGACAAAGACUGACGCUCAGGUGCGAAAGCGUGGGGAGCAAACA